CCCUGGGUUUGGUGUGUAUGUAAUGCAAACAUGCGGCCACUUGAAUUCCUUUGGUGAUGGUGCUUUAGCAGAGGACUAAUGCACGUCAGAGUUUUGCACAAAAAGCACACCGUAUGGGCGUCGCCGGUGGCUCCGUGGUAAAGACUCCGCCGGCCGAUGCCGGAGACACGGGCUGGAUCCCCGACCCGGGAAGACCACAAGCUGAGGAGCAGCUAAGCCUCCUGACAACCGCUGAGCCUCUGCUCUCGAGCCCGGGAGUUGCGACUACUGAGUUCGCGUGCUGCAGCUGCGGAGCCCAGGUACCACAGCUACCGAAGCCCGGGUCCCAGAGCCCCAGCUCUGCAAGGAGAGAAGCCGCUGCCACGAGAAGCCGACGCCCCAACGACUCGAGUGCAGCCCCUGCUCACCGCGACUGGAGAAAGCCUGUGUGCUGCAAGGAAGACGGCGCACAGCCUAAACUUUGGCCACCUCCCUGCCCAAAGCUCUGGCCCUGGGGCCAAGUCCCUCCGUCUCUUUCCAGCCCACCAUUGCCAGCUCUGGCCCUGGGGCCGAGUCCCUCUGUCUCUUUCCAGCCAACCAUUGCUAGCCUCCUUCCUGCAUCUUUACCUGGUGCUGCUGAGUUCUUAGACUGCUCAUGGCCAAGCCAGGACAAAACAACAGCCUCUGGCGUCCUUCUGGCCAGUUUGUAGCUACGAGGAGGAGCAGCAGCCGCUGGCGGAAAACAUGUCAAAUAGCCCUGGCUCCUAUGGGAAUCACAGAGGUGAAAAAACAUCCUUUUCUUGGUGAAGCACCACUGUGGGAUUGCAAAGUCCCAGGACCAAGACUUUUUUAACUUUUUAUUUUGUAUCGGGGUAUAGCCGAUUCACAAACAAUACUGUGAUCAUUUCAGGUGAAUAGUGAAGGGACUCAGCCAUACAUAUACCUGUAUCCAUUCUCCCCCAAACUCCCCUCCCAUUCUGACUGCCUCAUAACAUUGAGCAGAGUUCCCUGUGCUGUACAGGAGGUCCUUGUUGGUUAUCCAUUUUAAAUAUAGCAGUGUGUAC
ensembl:lncRNA